rnacentral:tRNA from 1 species
GGAGAGGUGGCUGAGUGGUCGAAGGCGCUCGCCUGGAGAGCGAGUAAACGGCUUAAACUCCGUUUCGAGGGUUCAAAUCCCUCCCUCUCCGCCA